rnacentral:rRNA from 1 species
GAUGAACGCUGGCGGCGUGCCUAAUACAUGCCAGUCGAGCGAACGGACGAGAAGCUUGCUUUUCUGAUGUUAGCGGCGGACGGGUGAGUAACACGUGGAUAACCUACCUAUAAGACUGGGAUAACUUCGGGAAACCGGAGCUAAUACCGGAUAAUAUUUUGAACCGCAUGGUUCAAAAGUGAAAGACGGUCUUGCUGUCACUUAUAGAUGGAUCCGCGCUGCAUUAGCUAGUUGGUAAGGUAACGGCUUACCAAGGCAACGAUGCAUAGCCGACCUGAGAGGGUGAUCGGCCACACUGGAACUGAGACACGGUCCAGACUCCUACGGGAGGCAGCAGUAGGGAACCUUCCGCAAUGGGCGAAAGCCUGACGGAGCAACGCCGCGUGAGUGAUGAAGGUCUUCGGAUCGUAAAACUCUGUUAUUAGGGAAGAACAUAUGUGUAAGUAACUGUGCACAUCUUGAAGGUACCUAAUCAGAAAGCCACGGCUAACUACGUG